AAUGAACGCUGGCGGCAGGCCUAACACAUGCAAGUCGAACGGAUCCUUCGGGAUUAGUGGCGGACGGGUGAGUAACGCGUGGGAACAUACCCUUUGGUACGGAAUAGCCUCGGGAAGCUGGGAGUAAUACCGUAUGUGGUCGAGAGACGAAAGAUUUAUCGCCAAAGGAUUGGCCCGCGUUGGAUUAGGUAGUUGGUGGGGUAAUGGCCUACCAAGCCGACGAUCCAUAGCUGGUUUGAGAGGAUGAUCAGCCACACUGGGACUGAGACACGGCCCAGACUCCUACGGGAGGCAGCAGUGGGGAAUCUUAGACAAAGGGGGAAACCCUGAUCUAGCCAUGCCGCGUGAUCGAUGAAGGCCUUAGGGUUGUAAAGAUCUUUCAGGUGGGAAGAUAAUGACUGUACCACCAGAAGAAGCCCCGGCUAACUCCGUGCCAGCCGCCGCUGUAA
rnacentral:rRNA from 1 species